CUUCAUUUGAAAUUAUGAGAAUGCAGUCCACUGGACAACUAAAUCAAUGAAACCAAUUUCCUCACAGCUUAUUUUCGCUGGUUAAACAAUCAAAAUUUAAAGUCCUCUUGCUGGGCUACUCUCACCUUUUUAAUUUGUGGGUAACUUGCCAAAACCGCAAAACUCAAGUACUAAUAAGAUCAAUAUUCAUCACCUAAUUACUUUGGUCAAUGGAUUGCACCUAGAUCUUAGACAUUAGCCUGGAACCUCACUUUUCAAGACAUA
rnacentral:lncRNA from 1 species